rnacentral:rRNA from 1 species
AACGAACGCUGGCGGCAGGCUUAACACAGGCAAGUCGAGCGCCCCGCAAGGGGAGCGGCAGACGGGUGAGUAACGCGUGGGAAUCUACCCAUCUCUACGGAAUAACGCAUGGAAACGUGUGCUAAUACCGUAUACGUCCUUCGGGAGAAAGAUUUAUCGGAGAUGGAUGAGCCCGCGUUGGAUUAGCUAGUUGGUGGGGUAAAGGCCUACCAAGGCGACGAUCCAUAGCUGGUCUGAGAGGAUGAUCAGCCACACUGGGACUGGGACACGGCCCAGACUCCUACGGGAGGCAGCAGUGGGGAAUAUUGGACAAUGGGCGCAAGCCUGAUCCAGCCAUGCCGCGUGAGUGAUGAAGGCCCUAGGGUUGUAAAGCUCUUUCACCGGUGAAGAUAAUGACGGUAACCGGAGAAGAAGCCCCGGCUAACUUCGUGCCAGCAGCCGCAGUAAAAC